GAAGGACAUCGUCACACUUGCAUUUUGAAAAUAUUCUGGUUGCAAAAUGGAGAUUGGAGGGAGGCAAGAGUGAAGGCAGCAAGACCAGUCAAGAUAUGAUAGAGCUUCGUGUAUCUGUUGUCUGUUUUCUGUAUCUAAAUAUAGACAGAGAGACCAAGAUAGAGACCAUAAGAAUUCCAAGUGGCUGCACCAGCUUGCAUUCCCAUCA